AUUGAACGCUGGCGGCAGGCUUAACACAUGCAAGUCGAGCGGAGAUGAGGUGCUUGCACCUUAUCUUAGCGGCGGACGGGUGAGUAAUGCUUAGGAAUCUGCCUAUUAGUGGGGGACAACAUUCCGAAAGGAAUGCUAAUACCGCAUACGUCCUACGGGAGAAAGCAGGGGAUCUUCGGACCUCGCGCUAAUAGAUGAGCCUAAGUCGGAUUAGCUAGUUGGUGGGGUAAAGGCCUACCAAGGCGACAAUCUGUAGCGGGUCUGAGAGGAUGAUCCGCCACACGGGGACUGAGACACGGCCCAGACUCCUACGGGAGGCAGCAGUGGGGAAUAUUGGACAAUGGGGGGAACCCUGAUCCAGCCAUGCCGCGUGUGUGAAGAAGGCCUUAUGGUUGUAAAGCACUUUAAGCGAGGAGGAGGCUACUGAGACUAAUACUCUUGGAUAGUGGACGUUACUCGCAGAAUAAGCACCGGCUAACUCUGUGCCAGCCGCCGCCGUAA
rnacentral:rRNA from 1 species